GCAGCACGGGUGCUUGCACCUGGUGGCGAGUGGCGAACGGGUGAGUAAUACAUCGGAACGUACCUUAUCGUGGGGGAUAACGCAGCGAAAGCUGUGCUAAUACCGCAUACGCCCUGAGGGGGAAAGCGGGGGAUCGAAAGACCUCGCGCGAUUAGAGCGGCCGAUGCCUGAUUAGCUUGUUGGUGGGGUAAAAGCCCACCAAGGCGACGAUCAGUAGCUGGUCUGAGAGGACGAUCAGCCACACUGGGACUGAGACACGGCCCAGACUCCUACGGGAGGCAGCAGCGGGGAAUUUUGGACAAUGGGGGAAACCCUGAUCCAGCAAUGCCGCGUGAGUGAAGAAGGCCUUCGGGUUGUAAAGCUCUUUUGUCAGGGAAGAAACACCGGCUCUAACACAGUCCGGGAAUGACGGUACCAGAAGAAUAAGCACCGCCUAACUACGUGCCAGCAGCCGCGGUAAUACGUAGGGUGCAAGCGUUAAUCGGAAUUACUGGGCGUAAAGCGUGCGCAGGCGGUUAUACAAGACAGGCGUGAAAUCCCCGGGCUUAACCUGGGAAUGGCGCCUGUGACUGUAUAGCUAGAGUGUGUCAGAGGGGGGUAGAAUUCCACGUGUAGCAGUGAAAUGCGUAGAUAUGUGGAGGAAUACCAAUGGCGAGGGCAGCCCCCUGGGAUAACACUGACGCUCAUGCACGAAAGCGUG
rnacentral:rRNA from 1 species